UGGGGAAUAUUGCACAAUGGAGGGAACUCUGAUGCAGCGACGCCGCGUGAGUGAUGAAGGACUUCGUUUCGUAAAACUCUGUUCUAUGGGAAGAAAAGGACUGUACCAUAGGAGAAAGCUCCGGCUAAAUACGUGCCAGCAGCCGCGGUAAUACGUAUGGAGCGAGCGUUGUCCGGAAUUAUUGGGCGUAAAGGGUGCGCAGGCGGCUUUACAAGUUGGAUGUGAAAUAUUGUGGCUCAACCACAAACGUGCAUCCAAAACUGCAAAGCUUGGGUUAAGGAGAUGUAAGUGGAAUGCCUGGUGUAGCGGUGGAAUGCGUAGAUAUCAGGAGGAAUACCGGUGGCGAAGGCGACUUACUGGACUUAAACUGACGCUCAGGCACGAAAGCGUGGGGAGCAAACAGG
rnacentral:rRNA from 1 species